AUCAAUCCCCUUUGGAACUAUAAGAUCGGACCUUACAUGCCCAACCAAGGCCAUGGAGAAAUUACACUGAUCUGGCCAAGGCCUGGGGGCGUGCCCAUGGAUCAAUCGGCCAGACCACCCGAAUUAAUGGUCUUGGGCGAUACCACUUGGUUAACAUCCUGUACCUUAGGUGUGUGCUCGGAAGUCCCCAAACUCUUCUCCACAGUCUUCUCCUUCUGUCUAGUAUCCAUUUCCGAUCAAGUCUCCC
rnacentral:lncRNA from 1 species